UACGAAGGGGGCUAGCGUUGUUCGGAAUCACUGGGCGUAAAGGGCGCGUAGGCGGCUUUAUAAGUCGGGGGUGAAAGCCUGUGGCUCAACCACAGGAUUGCCUUCGAUACUGUAGAGCUUGAGACCGGAAGAGGUAAGUGGAACUGCGAGUGUAGAGGUGAAAUUCGUAGAUAUUCGCAAGAACACCAGUGGCGAAGGCGGCUUACUGGUCCGGUUCUGACGCUGAGGCGCGAAAGCGUGGGGAGCAAACAGG
rnacentral:rRNA from 1 species